GCUCACUUCGGGAGCACAUGUAGUAGAACUGGAGCGAUACAGAGAAGGUUAGCAUGGCCCCUGCGCAAGAUGACAUGGAAAUUGUGAAGCGUUCCAUAUUAAA